UUCUCAUUGGGAGCCCACAGGCACGCGAUUCUAGCAUUGACCUGCUGGUAUUCUACUGUCUUUGCCAUAAUAUAGUUAUCUAUUAUAACCGCCAUCUCAUAAUGUUCGCGGCAUGUUUGGAAAAAAAAAAUGCUCGACCCGUCUUUAUGCCACUAACUAUUGCGUGACGCGUGACACAGUUUGUUGACAAGAGUUGUGCGCUCUUUUUUCAUUUCCGCUUCAUCACAGGUCAUGUGCAGGCAUCAGUGACUAGAAUGCCAGAAACAUCAGGAAAGCCGACUGCUUUUAGCUGGAAAUCCACGUCCCCCCCUUGCCGAGUGGUACUUUUGAUUUGCAAGGCAGCGGGGAUUUAUCAGGACAAUUUCGCGACGAGAGACCCUUCAAAACUGUCAACUCACGAACUUCAACCUAGUGUAACAAACAACUCCACGUUCGUUUUGUCUCUAGAACUUCAACCAGGGAUCUACCACUUCUUAUUUGAAAUCUAUAUUGAUGAAAAUAAUACUGAGGGACAUUUAAGCUCCUCUACGAUGUAUGACAAAACCUGGCUCGCAUCAGGUCGAGAGGUGAACUAUGUAGAAGUGAACUGCUCUUCGUGGGCCUUACACCGGAAAACUAACCAGCGAAUUUCCCCGGAAACAGAGGAAAAGCCCGAUCAAGGCACUGGCGACACUGUUGCCCUUGUUGAUGACGAGGAGACUCCGUGUUUGUGUCACUGCGUCGUACUAUAAGAAGCAGAGGACGAUUGAUUGCUUUCGCCUUGGUAUGACGUCGAACAAGAGUCAGCUCACCGAAGUCCUUCUUCCUACAGGGAAACGUACUAGCCUAAAUGAGAGUCAACUAGCCUACUAGUUGACUCUCAUUUAGGGUUAAUCGAAUAUGUUGCUUAUACGACCAUUGGGAAUCCUGUGGCGCGAAAAUGAACGAGGAGCACUGGAUCGGGACUUUGCGCUCGCCUCGUACCCUCAUCCCCGGGAACCUCAGCUUUCGCGAGUUCGAAAACAAAACUUUUCCGUAAAACCCGAAAUGAGAGCCGACUAGCAGGCCAAACGUAAGUUGAUAAAGAAACUAAACUUUAUUUGAGAAAGUGGUAUUUACAUUAAGUACGAAAAGCAGUGAUUACUAUAAAAAUAUACCACAUAACCACUGCAAAUAUCAAAAUCGUUAAUUGUCGAUUACAAUGUAACCAGUCAGGAAAAAUCAGGAAAAAAAAAACAUUUUAAGGGGAGUGUUUUACGACCGACCAAUCAGAUUCAAGAUAUUCAAACAGUCACGUUAGGGUUUGAAUUCUCGCUUGUGAUUUGUCAGAAGACAAUAAACAUUUUAUACUAGCGGGUAUCAUUGGGUAUACUUGAUUUUUGAUUUACCAUUAACCAGUGCUUUUCUUAAAAUUAUCUGAAAUUAUCUUAAAAUUAUCAGCUCUAUCGGAAAAAUUUGAUUUUCGCCAUUAUUUAAUUAAGGGGGGAGGGGUGCGCAGUCAUAAGUAUCAUAUGGAAAAAGCACAGUAUUUGAAGAUUCCUUUGGUGGCCAAGGGGGGGGGGGAGUGCACGUCCUGUGUACGCGCCUCGGCAGAAGACGUCAUAUUUUAUACAUCUGAAAUUGAAGGAAAAAAGAAAAUAGAGUGUAAUAACGUCGUUAAAAAUCUUCUUAGCUGUCCUCGAAACCUCGAAAUAAUAUUUGAUUUUUUUUAUUGAUGCAUGAUAGUGAUUAAAGAAUGAAUGUAAUAAAUCGAUCUGGUUUUUUUUAGACAAAUAAAGUUAUUAUGGGUCAGUA